rnacentral:rRNA from 1 species
UUAGGUAAAGCUACUAAGAGCAAAUGGUGGAUGCCUUGGCACUAGGAGCCGAAGAAGGACGUACUAAUCUGCGAUAAGCCACGGGGAGCCGAUAAGACGCCUCGAUCCGUGGAUUUCCGAAUGGAGAAACCUUUCGGUGGUAAUGCACCGAAAUCCGCACCUGAAUACAUAGGGUGCGAGAAGGAAAGCCUGUGAACUGAAACAUCUUAGUAACAGGACGAAAAGAAAACAAAUCAGUGAUUUCCCUAGUAGCGGCGAGCGAACGGGAAACAGCCCAAACCGAUUACAUGUGAUAGGUUACAGCCGUUAUGUAGUCGGGGUAGUGGGACUUCCAGUCGGAGCUGUAAUUCCGACACAGAGUUACAAAAUUGUCAAUUAAAUGAACACAGCUGGAAAGCUGGACCAUAGAGGGUGAUAGUCCUUUAAUUGAAAACUGACAAUCUCUGGGAAGUAUCCCAAGUAAGUCGGGACACGAGAAACCCUGACUGAAUCUGCCGGGACCAUCCGGUAAGGCUAAAUACUACCUAGUGACCGAUAGUGAACUAGUACAGUGAUGGAAAGGCGAAAAGAACAGUGGAAAGCUGAGUGAAAUAGAACCUAAAACCGUUUGCUUACAAACAGCAGGAGCACUAUUAAUAGUGUGACUGCGUGCCUGUUGAAGAAUGAGCCGGCGAGUUACGGUGAGUAGUAGGUUAAGGGGUUAAUACCCGGAGCCAGAGGGAAACCGAGUCUGAAUAGGGCGUUAAUUACUUGCUGUAGACCCGAACCUAGGUGAUCUAACCAUGGCCAGAAUGAAGCGCAGGUGACACUGCGUGGAGGUUCGAACCCACUGAUGUUGAAAAAUCAGGGGAUGAGUUGUGGUUAGGGGUGAAAUGCCAAUCGAACCUAGAGCUAGCUGGUUCUCCCCGAAAUGCGUUUAGGCACAGCCUCAGGAUUUAGCGUACUGGAGGUAGAGCACUAGUUUGGUGCGGGCCCAGAAACUGGGUACCAAAUCAUCUUAAACUCCGAAUGCCAGUAUUGUAUGCCUGGGAGUGAGACUACGAGAGAUAAGUUCCGUGGUCAAGAGGGAAACAGCCCAGACCGCCAUCUAAGGUCCCUAAAUUUAUACUAAGUGACUAAGGAGGUGGAGUUGCAUUGACAACCAGGAGGUUGGCUUAGAAGCAGCCAUCCUUGAAAGAAAGCGUAAUAGCUCACUGGUCAAGCGACUCUGCGCCGAAAAUACACCGGGGCUAAGUAUAAUACCGAAGAUGCGGCAUCAAGUUUACUUGAUGGGUAGGGGAGCGUUCUGUUGUAGGUUGAAGCUAGACCGAUAAGGACUAGUGGACGAAGCAGAAGUGAGAAUGUCGGCAUGAGUAGCGAAAACAUUGGUGAGAAUCCAAUGCACCGAAAACCUAAGGUUUCCCACGGCAGGCUCGUCCGCGUGGGGUUAGCCGGACCCUAAGCCGAGGCUGAAAAGCGUAGGCGAUGGAUAACAGGUUGAUAUUCCUGUGCCACGAUAUCUUCGUUAUUAUCAGCGGAGGGACGCAGGAGGCUAAGUGUGCUGGCGAUUGGAAGUGCCAGUACAAGCGUGUAGGUAGUCAGAGCAGGUAAAUCCACUCUGGCGUUAUGACCUGAGGCGUGACGUGGAUCUUCUACGGAAGAGUAGACACUGACGCCACACUGCCAAGAAAAGCUUCGCGUGAGAGAAUUUAUCGUGUCCGUACCGUAAUCCGCCACAGGUGGGUAAGUAGAGAAUACUAAGGUGCGCGAGAUAACCCUCGUUAAGGAACUCGGCAAAAUAGCCUUGUAACUUUGGGAGAAAAGGUACCCUGGUACCGUGAUUUGGCUUUACGCCAAUGAGCGGGAUAGGGUCGCAGCGAAAAGUCCCAGGCGACUGUUUACCAAAAACACAGGUCUCUGCUAAGUCGAAAGACGAUGUAUAGGGGCUGACGCCUGCCCAGUGCCGGAAGGUUACGUGGAGAGGUUAGAUACUUGUAUCGAAGCUUUGAAACUAAGCCCCGGUGAACGGCGGCCGUAACUAUAACGGUCCUAAGGUAGCGAAAUUCCUUGUCGGGUAAGUUCCGACCCGCACGAAAGGCGUAACGAUCUGGGAGCUGUCUCAACGAGGGACUCGGUGAAAUUGGAUUGGCCGUGAAGAUACGGCCUACGCAUACCUGGACAGAAAGACCCUAUUGAGCUUUACUGUAACUUGAAAUUGAAUUCGGGCUGUGCCUGUGCAGGAUAGGUGGGAGACUUUGAAGCGAUGCCGUCAGGUGUUGUGGAGUCGUCGUUGAGAUACCACUCUUGUGCAGUUUGAGUUCUAACCGAAUGCCACAAAUAUCUGGGUUUGGAACAGUUUCAGGCGGGCAGUUUGACUGGGGCGGUCGCCUCCUAAAGAGUAGCGGAGGCGCCCAAAGGUUCCCUCAGGUUGGUCGGAAAUCAACCGUAGAGUGUAAAGGCACAAGGGAGCUUGACUGUGAGGCCUACAAGCCGAGCAGGGACGAAAGUCGGGCUUAGUGAUCCGGCGGUUCUGUAUGGAAGGGCCGUCGCUCAACGGAUAAAAGUUACCAUAGGGAUAACAGGCUUAUCUCCCCCAAGAGUCCACAUCGACGGGGAGGUUUGGCACCUCGAUGUCGGCUCGUCGCAUCCUGGAGCGGUAGUACGUUCCAAGGGUUGGGCUGUUCGCCCAUUAAAGCGGUACGUGAGCUGGGUUCAGAACGUCGUGAGACAGUUCGGUCCAUAUCCGGUAUGCGCGCAAGAGAAUUGAACGGAGUCGUCCUUAGUACGAGAGGACCGGGACGAACGAACCUCCAGUGUACCAGUUGUCCUGCCAAGGGCAAACGCUGGGUAGCUGUGUUCGGAGUGGAUAAGUGCUGAAAGCAUAUAAGUACGAAGCCCACCGUAAGAUUAGUUCUCUCACUGGGUUAACCAGGUAAGUCCCCGGACAGAAUAUCCGGUUGAUAGGCCAGAGGUUGAAGUAUGGCAACAUAUGUAGCCGACUGGUACUAAUAGGACGAGGGCUUUACCUAG